rnacentral:rRNA from 1 species
GAUGAACGCUGGCGGCGUGCCUAAUACAUGCAAGUCGAGCGAACAGACGAGGAGCUUGCUCCUCUGACGUUAGCGGCGGACGGGUGAGUAACACGUGGAUAACCUACCUAUAAGACUGGGAUAACUUCGGGAAACCGGAGCUAAUACCGGAUAAUAUAUUGAACCGCAUGGUUCAAUAGUGAAAGACGGUUUUGCUGUCACUUAUAGAUGGAUCCGCGCCGCAUUAGCUAGUUGGUAAGGUAACGGCUUACCAAGGCAACGAUGCGUAGCCGACCUGAGAGGGUGAUCGGCCACACUGGAACUGAGACACGUUCCACACUCCUACGGGAGGCAGCAGUAGAGACUCCUCCGCAAUGCGCGAAAGCCUGACGGUGCAACGCCGCGUAAGUGAUGAAGGUCUUCUGAUCGUAAAACUCUGUUAUUAGGGAAGUACAAAUGUUUAAGUAACUAUGCUCGUAUUGACGGUACCUAAUCAAAAAGCCACGGCUAACUACGUG